UCUCCCUCCCAUCCACAUACGCACACCACUACAGUAUAUCAGCUAGCGACUGGCAGGGAAACGGAGGGGAGAGCAGAAAUGAAUGUGAAGAUCUUGACGCUGGUGAUUGUGCUGGUGGUUUCUCUGCUGUGUUCAGCCAGUGCUGGUCCAAUGGCCUCCACCGAGCAUAGCAAAGAGCUGGAGGAGGUGGGCAGCAUGAGGACUCCUUUGCGGCAGAAUUCCGCUCGAGCCGGCCGGAGCCAAAGACCUUCUGGUUGGAGGAGGAGACGCCCUCGACCCCGCCUCUCCCAUAAGGGGCCCAUGCCAUUUUAGAGCAAGGCACAGCUUAGAGUGCCCUCCCCCUUGGUUCUGAUUUCUAUGCUCUUCCUUUGCCUUGGGGGGCCUUGCAACAAGGGGCCUUUGCUAGCCCAGCCUGAAGAGUGAUGUCCAUAGCACCUGCUGGUUCUUCAAGCAACUCUUCUUCUGUCCACAAAAAAACCAGGACAAGCCACUCACCCUCAGCUCUAUGAAGAAUUGUGGGCCGGGAACGGGGGUGGGGGGCAUUGAGCCCGAGCUAUCAGAUUCUGUCUCUCUCUGUCUGUCUCUCUCCUCCUGUGGUUUUCCUCAUUUGCUUUCUAGAGUCCUUUCAUGGCCACACUUUGCAUGAUGUGUGAGCAGUGGGGAGCCUGGUCUAAACAGUUAUAGUCCGAAAGCGUCAGUUUCUUCUCCGAGGUGUGCUAGUCCCAUUCUCUCCAGUGUGUAGGUGACCACAGCGCUUUGACCCAUUGCUAGGUGUUGGCAACUCUUGGCUUAUAAAUGGCGUUUAUAAGGGAAGAAAGUGGCAGGGAAUCUAACGUAAAGGCAAAAAUGCUCAGGCCCAUUAUGGCCAGGCCAGCAAUGUAAAUUUUUUACAUCUUACACAAUUUACCAUCUACCUACAGCAAAAAUUGGCCAGUUAGCUUAAUAACGGCAUCACUGAGUGCAUUUACAUGGCAAACUGCUCACAAAUGCAAUGAUCAAAAAUUUUUUCUUAUAAAAUCCUGACAAAAAAAUAUUUCUUAAUGAGAUCAAUUCUGUUUAACUCAUCAAGUUUUGGCGCCAAAAUGUAUGCACAUUGUAUAAGCAUCCAGAAUGCUGAUUGUAAUGUAAAUGCAAUCAAUGUUAUCGGGUUCAGUUAUAAUUACUGAUUACAUAAUUACGUCUAAAAAUGUUGAAUGACUAUAUAAUUCAUUGGCACAUCUAUUUAAAACAGCUUGAUUACAUCUCAUAGUGCUGUCCAACGGUCAUUAUACAUCAUCCUACCAAUGAGCCUAAGAGUUGUCAGCCAUCUGAAGCUUAAGGAUAAAGCCACAGUGUCUCAUUAUCAAAAAUCACACUCCACUUCCAUGAGCGAGAGAUCAUCGUCCUGAGCCCUCUUCUCCUCCCCCAUGACACACGCUGCUUUACAGCAGAGAUACAUGACUGUUAACUGGCCAGGGUGAUCUGCUUCACAUGGCGGACCAUCUCUCUUUUUAAUGAAGUGCCAAAUAGCAAAUCUACUCCACAGUGCUGCCAGGAGAAGAAAAGUAAACAUGUUACCUCUUAUCUUGGGGGAAGCAUAACAUCUAAACAUAUGUACGCAUUUUGCCAUUUGUUUGAACACCCAAUGUAAAGGCAACGGUAGCAUGGUUUCAAGACAUUAGACCAAAAAAAAAAAAAAAAGAGAAAGAAAGAAAUUUUCUUUACAGAUCUGAUGAUUUUCCCCUUGACUGGAUUCUUUGACAGAACUCUAUGCCUUUAUUUGACAUCAUACUGGAAAUGAUUUCUCAUUCUUUUGUUGUUAUUUUUGUUAUAUUUCAGUUCAUUUCUCAGGGUGCUGUGACACAAGCCUGUAUGGUCUAUAUUACAUGCAUUUAUUUAAGAAACACACAUUAUUUGUAUUCACACCAUUUAACUUCAUGCUUAAAUAUCCACCACUUUUUAGCUACAUAUCCAGACUACGUUUUUACAAGCCAUUACUGUUUUCUCCCCAUUGGGAGCAGUUGCCUUUUGAGUUUGAGCCUCUUUGGCACAGGUGGCCACAGCCUGGUUAUUAAACCCCAUUGCUAAUCGGUUUUAAAUUGGAAUCACUAAAAUCUCUUUCAAGUCCGAUAGAGCUCACAAGACAAACUGGCAUAGAAUGACCACACCACCUUAGCGUUCAACCGAUUUAUGAUGUAAUAAUCUACAAAAAUGAGCAACUCUUGGCUUAGGCAUCGUCAAACCUUUCAGUAAGACACAAAUUAUGAGGCUGAGAUGAGACUGUUAGCCACACUCAUAAUUCCGAUGCUUAAUUAGACAAUGCAGCAAGUUAUUGCAAAUUAGCAUUUGAGUCCCAUCCCCAUUUCCUGUUAGGCGUUUCCCUGUGGUUACGAAAAGAGAGUCGUCGCGUAUAUCCACUAACAUCACCUCGCGGCAAAGUCAGCUCUUCAUAAGAGAGUGCCUAAAAACCUAUAUCGGUAAAACACCCAGCCAAGCUCACCUAGAUUAAAAAUUUAUCGAAUCUUAGGGCACUGUGCAUACUAAUAAUUCCAGUCACGCCAUGAUUAUUUUAUACCCUCUCAGACAGAGAUGUGGAUUUUAUUAACGGUUUCUCAGAAUGAUAGUGCAGUAGAUCAGAACGCAGAGAAGUUCCAAGUUUGGGCGGCUGAGUUGCAGUACACUUCAUCUGAAGAGUCUGUUAGAGGUGCGGAGUAAUGCCUGUAUCCAUACUGUUGUUCAUGAAUGUAUCUUCACCAUCCUCACCAGAGCUGAGCCGAGGGCCAUCGAGCAGUGUUUCAGUUCAGUUCAAGCCUUGAAUCUUGAAAAACUAGCCCCCUUCCCACCGAUGGAGAUGGUUAUCGUUUCAUCAAACAUCCAAAGACAAAUAUGACAAAAUCCAAAGCUUGCUAUAGCAGAGACCCCUAUCAAUCACUUGGCUUUCCUCCAACACCUCUCUGUAUGGACAUGCAAGGCUGCACUUUUGCAAUUCCAUUAUGCUGCUGGAAAAGUAAAUCCCGAAAACAAGUCUUUUGGCAUGUAAUGGUUUUCCAGUGUCUUGUGACAAUUAAAUUGACUGAUUCUUGUCUAGCUGGUUGUCCAAAGCCUACUUUUCGAUAGAGUGUGGAAAGCUGUAUUUUAUUUUUGUGUGUAUGGCCGUAUAAAAGUGUAGAAAAUAUAGUCUGCUGCACAAUAGGUCAUGGACACAAAAGAGAUUUCUCACCCUCCUCUGCCGUCAAACCUGGGCCGUCGUCCCCGUCAGCACAUCAGGUUAAUGGAGCCUGUGGUGUCAAGAGAACAAGCAUGUCCAGACUCAAAACUGAAAUGGCAAACACACACAUUACUCUUACAGAGCACAAAUCACUUUCUAUAAA